UACGUAGGGACCAAGCGUUGUUCGGAUUUACUGGGCGUAAAGGGCGCGUAGGCGGCGUGGUAAGUCAAUUGUGAAAUCUCCGAGCUUAACUCGGAACGGUCAAUUGAUACUGCUGUGCUAGAGUACAGAAGGGGCAAUCGGAAUUCUUGGUGUAGCGGUGAAAUGCGUAGAUAUCAAGAGGAACACCUGAGGUGAAGACGGGUUGCUGGGCUGACACUGACGCUGAUGCGCGAAAGCCAGGGGAGCGAACGGG
rnacentral:rRNA from 1 species